CAGUAGCCGCGGUAAUACGUAGGGUGCAAGCGUUAAUCGGAAUUACUGGGCGUAAAGCGUGCGCAGGCGGUGCUGUAAGACUGAUGUGAAAUCCCCGGGCUCAACCUGGGAACUGCAUUGGUGACUGCAACGCUGGAGUGCGGCAGAGGGGGAUGGAAUUCCGCGUGUAGCAGUGAAAUGCGUAGAUAUGCGGAGGAACACCGAUGGCGAAGGCAAUCCCCUGGGCCUGCACUGACGCUCAUGCACGAAAGCGUGGGGAGCAAACAGGAUUAGAUACCCCUGUAGUCCCUGUCUCUUAUAC
rnacentral:rRNA from 1 species